UACGUAGGGUGCAAGCGUUGUCCGGAAUUAUUGGGCGUAAAGAGCUCGUAGGCGGUCUGUUGCGUCGGCUGUGAAAACCCGGGGCUCAACUCCGGGCCUGCAGCCGAUACGGGCAGGCUAGAGUUCGGUAGGGGAGACUGGAAUUCCUGGUGUAGCGGUGAAAUGCGCAGAUAUCAGGAGGAACACCGGUGGCGAAGGCGGGUCUCUGGGCCGAUACUGACGCUGAGGAGCGAAAGCGUGGGGAGCGAACAGG
rnacentral:rRNA from 1 species